rnacentral:rRNA from 1 species
GACGAAGCCGUGCGAACCGUUGUUCGGAAUCACUGGGCUUAAAGGGCGCGUAGGCGGUUUCUCAAGUCCGGGGUGAAAGCUUUCGGCUUAACCGGAAAAGGGCCUUGGAAUACUGAGAAGCUGGAGGGAGGUAGGGGCCGUUGGAACUUCCAGUGGAGCGGUGAAAUGCGCAGAUAUCAGGAGGAACACCGGGUGGCGAAGGCGGCGACCUGGUCCUUGACUGACGCUGGAGGCGCGGAAAGCGUGGGGAGCAAACAGG